rnacentral:tRNA from 1 species
GUUUCUAUGGUGUAUAAUGCACAUUAGAUUUUCAUUCUAGAAGGAUAAGGUAACUUAUUAGAAAUG